rnacentral:rRNA from 1 species
UUGUGCAUCGCGUCUACCAUGCAGUCGACGGACUAACGGUCAAGGAGACACUGCGGCACACCGCCUGAGUAACCUGCUGUAUAUCACCCAAUAACAUCGGGACACCGAUUGUAAUCCAGUGUAUCUCCCGCAUGAGAAAUAUUGACCGCCUACAUCAGAUGCCAAUUAUGAUUGCCUAAUCUUGGUGGCAUUGGUGAAACAAACGAGAUGAUCCUUAGCUAGGUGUGAGAGGAUGAUCAACCACACUGCGACUGAUACACUCCCCAGACACCUAAUGACAGGCCCAGUGGGGAAUAUUACACAGUCCGGACACCCCUGAUCGCCCCAUGCGGCGUGACUCACGAACGGCACACGUUUGUAAAGCACCUUUGGCGAGUACUAUAAAAAGGGCACCCGAUUAAUAAGCCCCGGCUACCUGCAUGAAAACGGCCUUCGUAAUACAAAGGUCGCUAGCACUGUACGAAAUCACGAGUCCUCAAUCAUACGCCAGCCGGAUUGGAUACGUCAGGAGUAACAUCCCGAUGGCUCAACCGCAAUAAUUGCCUUUGAUACUGUCUGUCGUCAACUUCAUCAGACGUUGUUCGGACUUCCUAGCGCAUACGCGAGUUGAAAAGAUUUCUUUAAACCUCCAGGGCUCAACCCCGGCCAGCAAUCCCAAUCCUUACUCUCAUGUACGAAAACGUUGGGAGCAACCCCCAUU